ACAUUCUAAUCUAAAAACUCGCACGCUCUCACAGUUUGGACCCGGAGAAACACGGUCCGCGAAACUGAGCUCAGUUCCUCCCAACGCAGUCGGCCAUAGCCAUGGCGACCUUACACACCAUGUCGCCCCAGAGCGUCGUCCUUCCUACGUCCAAACCCAAACCCAAAUUCAGACCCAACUUCAAGCUUUCCCAGACCCCGUUUUUCUCGAGAAACGAGCGGAAAACGAAGUCGUGGGCGGUAAAAUCCGUGGAAGAGUUGGACGUGAUCCCAGUACAGAGCGCGGACUCUACGGACCAGCAAGAGGGCGUGGUAGUGAGCCGGGUGGAGAGGGAAGGUGGGUUGGAGACAGAUUUGGUGGGCGGGUUCGCUGCAGGUCAUGAGGGGAGGCUCUCGUUCGAAGGGGCUGGUGAAUUUCAAGGAUUUUCUUCUUCUUCUUCUUCGGGUUCGGUUGGUGAUGGAGUGGGGAAGAGCGAGAAUGAGGAAAUGGAGAGACUCUUUGACAGGACCAUCAACGCGACAAUAGUUUUGGCUGCGGGUUCUUUCGCCAUCACCAAAUUGCUCACCAUUGAUUCGGACUACUGGCAUGGCUGGACGCUUUUUGAGAUACUAAGAUACGCACCUCAACACAACUGGACUGCUUAUGAGGAAGCUCUUAAGACAAACCCAGUUUUGGCAAAAAUGGUUAUUAGUGGAGUGGUGUACUCUGUAGGUGAUUGGAUUGCACAGUGUUAUGAAGGAAAACCUCUCUUUGAUUUUGAUCGAGCACGAAUGUUCAGAUCUGGCCUUGUUGGCUUUACUCUACAUGGCUCCCUUUCUCAUUAUUAUUACCAGUUCUGUGAGGAGCUUUUUCCGUUCCAAGACUGGUGGGUGGUUCCUGUCAAAGUAAUCUUCGACCAAACUGCAUGGGCAGCAGCUUGGAAUAGCAUUUAUUUUACUGCCUUGGGAUUUUUGCGUCGUGAGUCCCCAGUUAGUAUUUUUAAUGAAUUGAAGGCAACGUUCUGGCCCAUGCUGACUGCAGGGUGGAAGCUUUGGCCAUUUGCUCACCUUAUUACCUAUGGUGUGAUCCCAGUAGAACAAAGGCUUCUUUGGGUGGACUGUGUAGAGCUUAUAUGGGUGACAAUACUCUCAACUUAUUCAAAUGAGAAAUCAGAAGCAAGAGUUUCUGAAGCACCAGUAGAAGCCAGCUCCAGUUCUCUAUCCACAGAUCCCCCUCAGGAGUAAACCGCCUGGAAACAACCAGAACCGGGAUGGUAAAGAUGAGUAGUUGCUCGAAUCAAUUGUCAGAGAGUAAAAUCCACUUUCUUGUUGAUUGAGAAAGUGAUGUCGAUCAUGGCUGGCAUGACUGAUUAAUGUAUAUAGUGGAGACAUUUCAGAAACUUGCAUAUGUAGGGGUGGAAGCGAACCGAGUUUGAGCGGGUAGUGCUUGCUCAAGCUUGGCUCGUUGAAUUUUUUGUCGAGUUCGAACUUGACACGAGUCCCAUUUUGUUUCCAAGCAUGACUCGCUAGGGUGGGAACCUUGUUCGAGCUCAAGCUUAGAAAUUUUUGCCGAGCUCAAGCGCAUUUAAUAACCGAGUUGCUCACGAGUGGAGCUUUAUCGAGCUGAGCCUGGGUGAGCUCAUGGGUAGCUUUGUUCGUUUACAACUUUAGCCACACGAAUCAAAAUGUAUGAUUGCAAGACGAUCAUUUGAAUUAAAAUCACAAAUAUAUAUCAAUGGUAUGCAACUCUCAGUAAUAGGGUUGUAAAUAAAUCAGUCUGUUUAGCAACCCGCUCGAUACUUGCUCGGUUUAACUUGAACUCGAGCUCGAUAUUGUACAAACCCGCUCGUUAUUGUAGAAACUUGCUCGAUUAGUAAAUGAUACAUACCCGACUCGCUUGAAAAAACUCAAUAGGAGCUCGUAAGCUUAGCUCGUUAAAGUUCAAUCGGUUCAUUUAUCCGAUUUGUUAGCUCGUGAGCUUAGCUCGUUUAAAGUUUAA